rnacentral:rRNA from 1 species
AUGGAGAAAGUCAAAGAACCCAAAGCAAAUUGGGACAGUGCUGCUCAUACAAUUUUUAUGAAUGCAUGCGCAGAGGAGGUUCGAGCAAAUAACCGCAACGGUGGUUAUUUGUCGGACAUAGGACAAGCUAAUUUGCAUAAAAAGUUCAACGAACGCUCUGGAAGAAACUAUUCGACCCGGCAAAUCAAAAAUAGGUGGGGUGUAUGUAGAAGCGAGUACAACACAUGGAAGACAUUGAUCCAGCAAGCAUCUGGCUUAGGAAGAGAUGAGCAUACACACACUAUUGCAGCUACAAAUGAGUGGUGGGCAUUGGAGAUAAAGGCACAUCCAGAAGCUGCCAAGUUUCGCUAUGCUCCACUAGCGGAGGAGGAAAAAAUGCAUAUGUGCAACCUCCAUUGCCGUUACGUGAUGAGCAUUUUGACAAGUUCGACAAUGAUGCAUAUGUGCAACCUCCAUUGCCGUUUACAGGUGCCAAUGCUCUACCACCAGAAGAUGAUGGUACCAUGA